GAGGAAAGAGGGAGGAGUGAAUAAUACAUGCGAGUCGAGCGAACGGACGAGAAGCUUGCUUCUCUGAUGUUAGCGGCGGACGGGUGAGUAACACGUGGAUAACCUACCUAUAAGACUGGGAUAACUUCGGGAAACCGGAGCUAAUACCGGAUGAUAUUUUGAACCGCAUGGUUCAAAAGUGAAAGACGGUCUUGCUGUCACUUAUAGAUGGAUCCGCGCUGCAUUAGCUAGUUGGUAAGGUAACGGCUUACCAAGGCAACGAUGCAUAGCCGACCUGAGAGGGUGAUCGGCCACACUGGAACUGAGACACGGUCCAGACUCCUACGGGAGGCAGCAGUAGGGAAUCUUCCGCAAUGGGCGAAAGCCUGACGGAGCAACGCCGCGUGAGUGAUGAAGGUCUUCGGAUCGUAAAACUCUGUUAUUAGGGAAGAACAUAUGUGUAAGUAACUGUGCACAUCUUGACGGUACCUAAUCAGAAAGCCCCGGCUAACUACGUU
rnacentral:rRNA from 1 species